rnacentral:lncRNA from 1 species
AAAUAUUAGCAUAAAAAAGAUUAAUUGGGUUGGAGAAAAACUUGUGUAGGCUAGUCCAAACAAAGUUGGCUUAUGAGUAUUCUAUCAAUUGGCAGAGUAUUAGUUCAAACAAUUGGACUAGGGAAGGCAAAAUGUCAGGCUUGGUCUGAGCGUGGCAAUGCCCAAGCCUAGCCCUAGCAUGUCUUUUGUUGGGCGAGCUUGGCCCAAUUCAGGUCGAGAUUUUUCCAAGACACGCAAAAAAGCCUGAAUUUUAAUUCUAUAUUUUUAAAAA